rnacentral:tRNA from 1 species
GGGCGGUUAGCUCAGCUGGGAGAGCGCUUGGUUUACACCCAAGAGGUCGGCGGUUCGAUCCCGUCACCGCCCACCA